rnacentral:tRNA from 1 species
UCCUGGUUAGCUCAGUUGGGUAGAGCGCUCCACCUGGAAAUGGAGAGGCCCUGCAUGGUUCAAUGCCAGGACCAGGCG